AGCAACAAUGUGAGAACGUUUGUGAGGGACCUCACAUAUCUGUGUUAACUGCGGGAAACAGGACAGAAUGGGCAAAGACAAGAGAGAAGAUGGUGGAGAUGGACCCAGUCAAUGCUCAUAACCUGUCCGUCAUUGAGAAGAGCAUCAUAGUCUUAGCGUUUGACGAUGUCAUGCCGAAGGACAGUGGUGAGGCCCUUCGACAGGCUAUGGUAGGAAGUUGCAAGAACAGAUGGUUUGACCAUAUCAUCACUUCGGUGGCCUUCCAGAGUGGUCUUUUCGCUUCUGAC